GUUUUUUCUAUAUCGAAAUGGGCGGUUCCAUCGUUUAGAGUCGAAAAGUAUAGUUACAAGAGGUUUUUCAAA
rnacentral:tRNA from 1 species